UUACUUGUUCUGUGCAUGUAUUGAUAUUGGAAUGAUACAGAGAAGAUUAGCAUGGCCCUUGCACACAUAUGACAUGAAAAUUUGGGAAGCGUUCCAUAUUUUG